GGCUGGUUCAAUGGUAGUGGGUUAUCAGAACUUAUUAAUGUUAGUGUUACUAAAGUUGGCAUUCAGCCCCCCCACUGCUAAAUUUGACUGGAUUAAA
rnacentral:Y_RNA from 1 species